rnacentral:tRNA from 1 species
GGGGAAUUAGCUCAGAGGUAGAGCGGCGGACUGUUAAUCCGCGUGUCACUGGUUCGAUCCCAGUAUUCCCCGCCA